GAUUAAAUCGGUGCUCUAGUGGGUGGGGCAGACCCUGGGCUAGCAGGCCUCAGGGAGAACUCCAAUGGUGUCUGUGUCAGCACGGCCACACCAGGCCACAACAAUGGCCACGGCCAAUGUCCCAGUCCCUGGAGAGGUCUCACCUCUCACUGAGAUGCACUCAGGGCCUAUCAGGGUUGCCACGCGGAGAGAUCCCGACAGCCUCACCUGCCCGUGUGUGGAAGAAGGACAGGACCAUGAGCAGAACCCUGACUGAUACAGACAUGAUGUGCGAGAGAACACGGACAUUCUGGAACCCAUGAGGACAAAGUAGAACCUACGCUAAUCUCUAACCACUUCCAAACUUCCAACUCCUAUGAUGCUGGUGCCCUGCAGGAAAAGCUGGCAUCCUUUGUCGUGGAGCUAAUAUGUGCUUUGUCCAGGAGGUGGAGAAGCAGCAGGAUCCAGCAGGAGUUGCUGCAGACCCAGCUGCCAUGCCAUGUUGACAAGAUGAGCCAGCAGAUCCAAGGUGCAUCAGCUGCAACAGCCCCUGACUUUACACUGACCUUCCUAGCAUAAACAUGGCUGCUGUUUCACUGCUGCCUUCCAAAGCGUGUGCAAAUUUCUCCUGUGCCCCGUUCUAGCUAGCCCAGAACCAUACAGAGAAGGGGAUUCUGGGAAACACUGUUUCAGCUUAGCUAGGUUGACACAGUACAAAACCACCACCACCAUCUUGGGGGAGGUUUCUUGGAAGCUUCCACAUGACACUUUACUGUAUAGUUCAUUGGCCAGAACAUGCAGACCACAUCAGGCUGCAUGUCUAAAAGUCAGGGGUUCUCUUUUAAAGAAAGGGAGGAUAGAUAUUGGGGUCAAUAACUGACCCUUUCUGUCAGAGUACUGCUCUUUACAGGACCCAGUUCCUACCUUCUAGUGCCUAAUUUUUAGGAGGGUAAAUACGACACUAUACAAACUUGUGUUGAGCUUUGUGUUUUCAGCUAAAUAGAAAUACUUGCCCUUCACAGUCCCUUGGAAAACUUGAGGGAGUGUUUUUACCUUUAAACAACUUUUCAUAUAUCAAAGCAGUAUCCUCAGGACAGCAGUGAACCACUGUGAGUGGGCGAUUCUUCACCCUGGGUGUCAGAGUGUGUCUUAUAUGGAUUAGCAGCAGGACUUUUUAAAGGCCUUUUGAGGGGAUGUUUUCUUCUCUAAAAGAAAAAAUGCAGGGUCAGUGACCAGGGGCCUCCAUUAUACAUGAAAUACCUUGGGGGAUCUCCUUGAGUACCAUGAAAAGGAAACCCACUUAUGUCAUGGAUUUACAUAGAUAGAUAAAAUAUAUUUUAUUUAAAUGCCUCUUUGUCUAUAGAAAUUCAAUCCAAUCAAUUCCAGCUCAUAUUUGUGCAGCAAUAAUAAUAUUUAAUGUUUAUUGAGCUUUGCCACAGGUCAGGCACUGGUCUAAGCAAUUUAUGUAGAUUAUCACAUUUACUCACAAGAACCCCAUGAGGUCUCUGUUCUUACUAUUAUUCACAUUUUACAGAUAAGGAACAGAAGCACAAACAGGUAAAGUAAAUUCAACAAGAUCAUAUAAACAGCCAGGAUGAACUCAGGACAUGGGGAUACAGAGGCUUUCUCUGGCGUUUCCCUGAUGCACCCCUGGUUCCUGACUCAUCCCAGAAACACUGCAUCCAGAACCCUCUCUGUACCACGGCAGCAAAGUGAAUACAGGGAAAAAGCAUUUCAACAACAAGGAGUUUCUACUUAGCCCACAGAUAAAUGGAAAGUGAAAUUAUUAUAAGCCCGUUCUAGGAUCAUUCUGAUUAAAUACAGUUAAUAAAUAAUAACCUCUCACUAUAUUGGGGUCAUCUCUAAAAGAAACAUCCUGAGACUGGAAGGUAGAGGACAGGGAAGGAAGGGCAGAGGUCGGGGGAUUUGACAUCCCCACUUCAGACCUGCGGGGGUGCCCCUUGGCGGAGUCUUCAGGCGUCAGAGCCCUCUGAGCUAAAUUCUGGACGGCGGGAGCUGUUCGGUGUUCCUCCGCAGCGCCCGGGGUCCUUCAGCCGCUUUGCAUUUGCACAGGGGCUCAAUAACUGUUUCAGGAAGGAGUACUUGAAGGAAGGGGCUUGGGAGCAAGGUAUCAGUUUUAGGACCUUCUAGACUGGUGCAAUAUGCUCCAUUUGAAGCUGCAGGCGACUCCUGGGCAGCAGAUGUUGUUUUCUGUCACCAGGAUCCACUAGGG